UAGGGAAUCUUCCACAAUGGGCGAAAGCCUGAUGGAGCAACGCCGCGUGUGUGAUGAAGGGUUUGGCUCGUAAAACACUGUUGUAAGAGAAGAAUGACAUUGAGAGUAACUGUUCAAUGUGUGACGGUAUCUUACCAGAAAGGAACGGCUAAAUACGUGCCAC
rnacentral:rRNA from 1 species